AGUGAACGCUGGCGGCGUGCUUAACACAUGCAAGUCGAACGAGAACGGGUUAUAGCUUGCUAUAAUUGUCAGCUAAGUGGUGCACGGGUGAGUAAUGUAUAGGUAAUAUGCCUCUUACUAAGGGAUAACAAAUGGAAACGUUUGCUAAUACCUUAUACUCCUUAUUAACAGAAGUUAAUAAGGGAAAGAUUUAUUGGUAAGAGAUUAGCCUGUAUUGUAUCAGUUAGUUGGUGGGGUAAUGGCUUACCAAGACUAUGACACAUAACUGGUUUGAGAGGAUGAUCAGUCACACUGGAACUGAGACACGGUCCAGACUCCUACGGGAGGCAGCAGUGGGGAAUAUUGCACAAUGGACGAAAGUCUGAUGCAGCAACGCCGCGUGGAGGAUGACACAUUUCGGUGCGUAAACUCCUUUUAUAUGAGAAGAUAAUGACGGUAUUAUAUGAAUAAGCACCGGCUAACUCCGUGCCAGCCGCCGCGGUAAUAC
rnacentral:rRNA from 1 species